rnacentral:rRNA from 1 species
CAAUAGCGUAUAUUAAAGUUGUUGCAGUUAAAAAGCUCGUAGUCGGAUUUUGGCAUCACGCCGAACUGUCUGCCGAUUGGUAAGUACGGUUUGGCGGGUGCUUCCUUCCGGAGGCUCGUUCCCUUCUUCAUUGAAGGGUUCGUUGGUUCCGGGUCUUUUACUUUGAGAAAAUUAGAGUGUUCAAAGCAGGCCUAUGCUCUGAAUAGGUUAGCAUGGAAUAAUAGAAUAGGACUUUGGUUCUAUUUUGUUGGUUUCUAGGACCGAAGUAAUGAUUAAUAGGGACAGUUGGGGGCAUUUGUAUUCGACCGAGAGAGGUGAAAUUCUCAGACCAGUCGAAGACAAACUACUGCGAAAGCAUUUGCCAAGGAUGUUUUCAUUGAUCAAGAACGAAAGUUAGGGGAUCGAAGACGAUCAGAUACCGU